UACGUAGGCACCAAGCGUUGUCCAGAUUUAUUGGGCGUAAAGAGCUCGUAGGCGGUUCGGCAAGUCGGAUGUGAAAUCUCCACGCUUAACGUGGAGGGGCCAUUCGAAACUGCCGUGACUCGAGUCCGGUAGGGGGGUGCGGAAUUCCCGGUGUAGCGGUGAAAUGCGCAGAUAUCGGGAAGAACACCCGUGGCGAAGGCGGCUCUCUGGGACGGUACUGACGCUGAGACGCGAAAGCGUGGGGAGCGAACAGG
rnacentral:rRNA from 1 species